CGGUAUAACUUAGUGGCGGACGGGUGAGUAACGCGUGGGAAACCUGCCCUGUACCGGGGGAUAACACUUAGAAAUAGGUGCUAAUACCGCAUAAGCGCACGGAACCGCAUGGUUGUGUGUGAAAAACUCCGGUGGUACAGGAUGGUCCCGCGUCUGAUUAGCCAGUUGGCAGGGUAACGGCCUACCAAAGCGACGAUCAGUAGCCGGCCUGAGAGGGUGAACGGCCACAUUGGGACUGAGACACGGCCCAA
rnacentral:rRNA from 1 species